UGAAAUCGAAGUGCCAGACGUUGACCAG
rnacentral:sRNA from 1 species